CUGUCAAAUCCCAUCUUGACCACUUCCUGAAGAAUUUCUUCAUCAAUCUUUUUAGCCUGUUGCAUUGUAUCUGGUGGAGGGACAGCCAAAUAACGGGGAAGGCGAGCUUGAAACCAUGGGUGCUGACGGAUUUCAGGGAUGGUCAUUCGCUUCAUUGGAUCAACCACAAGCAUCCUUGGAAUCAAAUCUCUAGCACCAGGUGAUAAAUGGCUAGGAAGAGUAUAUAUCCCACCCUUGAUUUUCUUAAA
rnacentral:misc_RNA from 1 species